rnacentral:rRNA from 1 species
GAUAGCCAUGCAAGUCUCAGUACAUGCCGCACUAAGGUGAAACCGCAAAAGGCUCAUUAAAUCAGUUAUGGUUCCUUGGAUCUUAAACAGUUACUUGGAUAACUGUGGUAAUUCUAGAGCUAAUACAUGCAAACAAGUCCCGACCAGAGAUGGGAGGGACGCUUUUAUUAGAUCAAAACCGAUCGGCGUCCGGCUCCGGCCGGCGCCGUCUCUUUUGGUGACUCUGGAUAACUUUUAGCCGAUCGCACGGUCACAGUACCGGCGACGCAUCUUUCAAAUGUCUGACUUAUCAACUGUCGAUGGUAGGCUCUGCGCCUACCAUGGUUGUAACGGGUAACGGGGAAUCAGGGUUCGAUUCCGGAGAGGGAGCCUGAGAAACGGCUACCACAUCCAAGGAAGGCAGCAGGCGCGCAAAUUACCCACUCCCGGCACGGGGAGGUAGUGACGAAAAAUAACGAUACGGGACUCAUCCGAGGCCCCGUAAUCGGAAUGAGUACACUUUAAAUACUUUAACGAGUACCAAUUGGAGGGCAAGUCUGGUGCCAGCAGCCGCGGUAAUUCCAGCUCCAAUAGCGUAUAUUAAAGUUGUUGCGGUUAAAAAGCUCGUAGUUGGAUCUGUGUGCCACGCUGUCGGUUCACCGCCUGUCGGUGUCAACUGGCAUGUCUGUGGGACGUCCUGCCGGUGGCGGUACGGGCUGCCGGCGCUGCGUAGGGGCUCGCCCCCGAAGCACGCCGGCGUGUCCCGGUCCGCCGAUCCAAUCCCGCCGCGGUGCUCUUCACUGAGUGUCGAGGUGGGCCGGCACGUUUACUUUGAACAAAUUAGAGUGCUCAAAUCACGUCGUAUUUAGGCCUGAAUACUGUGUGCAUGGAAUAAUGGAAUAGGACCUCGGUUCUAUUUUGUUGGUUUUUUGGAAUCAGAGGUAAUGAUUAAUAGGGACAGUCGGGGGCAUUCGUAUUGCGACGUUAGAGGUGAAAUUCUUGGAUCGUCGCAAGACGAACCUAAGCGAAAGCAUUUGCCCAGUAUGUUUCCGUUAAUCAGAACGAAAGUUAGAGGUU